rnacentral:rRNA from 1 species
AUCUGAUCUCAAAUCAGGUAGGACUACCCGCUGAACUUAAGCAUAUCAA